UCACUAUGAUAGCACUAAGCUACUAAAGUAGUUUACUCCUAAGAUACAUGACAUUUAAGUGAAGGAAUAGGGGGGUAUUUAUAGUGGGAGAUGGAGUAGGGGCUACUCCAGUGCCAUGUCAGCGAUCCGCGUCAUCUUCAUCAUGCACCAUUGGAUCAAACCGACUUCACAACCGCCAUCUGAUCAACGGUAGAGGCAAACUAACAUGUGCAACAUGUGGGCAAGGUCGGUGGGAGGCCAACCGACCCUGGAACUGCCAUGAAGUGGGGUCGGCCGACCCCCUAUCUGGCUGGUUGGGCCCACCUGCAGUGUCCUGGAGGCUCUCUGAUGUCGGUGGAGUUGAGCUGACCUGUGGGACCCACCAAAGUGGGGUCGCCCGACCCCAAUUCUAUGGGGUUAGGGUGUCAGCCCUGUCCUACAUGUCUUCCUCUUCAUGACUAUAAUGUUGUCUUGGUUACUGGUGUCACUAAUCUUUAGUUAUUCACCCCUUCUUAGUGUUUGGACCCUUGAAAAGUACCUGUUCUUACUCCUGCAACCAAAUAGUAGCAUGUACAUGUGGAACUAGGUUAUAUGUACCUAUAUUACUACUUUGUUUGGUUGUUUUCUCCCAAAAUGAGUCUUAUGUUGACGGUUAUGAUAGUAGAAAACAUGGUAUAAAUACCGUCAACAAGACCCCCCACACUUGAGUCUUUGCUCGUCCUCGAGUAAAGGUUAAAAAUGAGUGAUCAAUGGUUUCUAACUUAAGAUAGUAGUGAGCAUAAAAUGCUAGUUCGAACAUAGUUCAUCCAAAUGGGUUUUUGUGUAAGUGUCUAGCAUAUAUCCUUCAGAGGUUGAGAAAAGGAACAACUCUCAGAACAAGAUCAAAUUCCAAUUUCAUAUUCUUGGUACUUAGAGUUUUUAUGACACUUUUUAAAGUAAGUCACAUAGUUCAAUCCUACUCCUCAUUUAGCGCUCUAGAUCACUCAAAGUUUUUUAGUAGUCCUCACCAAGGCAUGAAUGCCAACUUGUUUCAUCCUAUAAUUAUAGGCUUAUAUGGGGCUUGGUAGGGAUAAACAAGGUAGCAUACUCUACUUUGCAAAUAUUGUUAAGUCAAAAACAAGGAUCCAAAGAGAGGAGUGUCAUAGUCAUAGAUCAAGAUGUGCAAGUGUGUUAUAUGGUGGACUAGGUUGCUCCUUUAUUUACUACACUCUCUCUACUUGUAUAUUGAGACAUGGCUAGAUUUUCUUUUUCUUCGAGCUUUAUGUGCUCAAAUUUUUUUUUUUCAUGGACUUGCACAUGUCCAUCUUUUCUUUUUCUUUUAUUUUGCCAAGCCCUUUUAUGUCUCAUUUUCUAAACAAUAUUUAGAGAGGUGUUCUAACACUUAGAGUAUGGAGCAACCUAUUUAGUGGAUGCACAAUACAUGUGGUUGCGUACUUCCAGUGUAGAAGCAGCAUAUAUAUAUGUGGUGUGUACGUGAUCUUGAUCUUGUGACUAUGAUACAACUCUCACUAGGGUCAACAAGGUUUUGACAAAACUCAUUACAAAAGCAGGUUGCAUUUCAUAAAAUGGUUACUUGAAUAUCUAAGUGUAUGGCUUUUAGUGGGAAUUUCUUGCUAAUGAGGAGUAAAUGAUACUAUGGUUUUGUGAUAUUUUUGAAACAAAUCUCUAAGUACCUUGAAUAGAAAUGUUAUGAAUUCUUAGCCAAGAGUUAUAUCACUUUCAUCAACAACUUAGUCAAUAUGGUUCCUAUAGAUUUUUACCCAUGAGGAUGAACAAUUGUAAGAACUAUACUUUAUGUCACUAUUUCUCUUAAAUCAUGUACCAGUUCAUGUUUUAUUUUGCAAACAAGUUUAAACUAUCAAAUUUUAUUUUAAUUGUGACACAAAGGUAAAGAAUUGGACAGACUGAGAGGGGGAAGAAUUAGCAAACCGGGCAGGAAAGAUGUCUUUCGUCGUAUAGAAGCUGCUUGGUGGGCCCAGGGCUCCAUGGAAGGGUCGGCCGACCCCACCUGGAGGUUCCUGGCCCUGCCACUCGAUUCUACGUCCCUCGGGAAGUCUUUCUGCACUUGUGUCGUUUCCUUUUGCCAUAGAAAGGGGGUCGGGCGACCCCCUCAUCGCGCCUGUUUUUGGUGCCAUGACGUGCCGAGGUGUAUGCAGUGUUGUUCCAUGCUCACGGCAGUUCAGAGAUGAAGUUGGGGGGUCGGGCGACCCCCCCACACUUGCAGUUUUCGUGUAGCUGAACUUACAACAGAGAGAGAUGAUCAAAUGCAGACGUCCUGCUGGUGGCAACACACCAGCAGGACCAAAAACAACUCUAUUAAAUCAAAUUUCAAUUGUAUAGGCACUUUUACAUUGUGAAAUUCAAAGUGACAAAUUGGAAAAUAAAAUUGAGUAAUCAAACCUAAAUAAUCAAAUAGUGCCUAUAACCUAAACUAACUAA
rnacentral:lncRNA from 1 species